CAGUCGCCACGGUAAUACGUAGGUGGCAAGCGUUGUCCGGAAUUAUUGGGCGUAAAGGGCUCGCAGGCGGUUUCUUAAGUCUGAUGUGAAAGCCCCCGGCUCAACCGGGGAGGGUCAUUGGAAACUGGGAAACUUGAGUGCAGAAGAGGAGAGUGGAAUUCCACGUGUAGCGGUGAAAUGCGCAGAUAUCAGGAAGAACACCGAUGGCGAAGGCAGUUCUCUGGGCCGUAACUGACGCUGAGGAGCGAAAGCGUGGGGAGCAAACAGGAUUAGAUACCCGGGUAGUCCCUGUCUCUUAUAC
rnacentral:rRNA from 1 species